AGGAGGUGGAGCAUGGAGCAGGGCGACCAAGUGCAGUUUGGACCAGGGUUUAUUGGCGGAACUCAAAAUACAGACUCGGUAAACUGACAUAACU